rnacentral:rRNA from 1 species
AUUGAACGCUGGCGGCAUGCCUUACACAUGCAAGUCGAACGGUAACAGGUCUUCGGAUGCUGACGAGUGGCGAACUGGUGAGUAAUACAUCGGAACGUGCCUAGUAGUGGGGGAUAACUACUCGAAAGAGUGGCUAAUACCGCAUGAGAUCUACGGAUGAAAGCAGGGGAGCGCAAGACCUUGUGCUACUAGAGCGGCCGAUGGCAGAUUAGGUAGUUGGUGGGAUAAAAGCUUACCAAGCCGACGAUCUGUAGCUGGUCUGAGAGGACGAUCAGCCACACUGGGACUGAGACACGGCCCAGACUCCUACGGGAGGCAGCAGUGGGGAAUUUUGGACAAUGGGCGAAAGCCUGAUCCAGCAAUGCCGCGUGCAGGAUGAAGGCCUUCGGGUUGUAAACUGCUUUUGUACGGAACGAAAAGCCCCGGGUUAAUACCCCGGGGUCAUGACGGUACCGUAAGAAUAAGCACCGGCUAUCUACGUGCCAGCCGCCGCGGUAA